AUUGAACGCUGGCGGCAGGCCUAACACAUGCAAGUCGAGCGGAUGAAGGGAGCUUGCUCCUGGAUUCAGCGGCGGACGGGUGAGUAAUGCCUAGGAAUCUGCCUGGUAGUGGGGAAUAACGUCCGGAAACGGGCGCUAAUACCGCAUACGUCCUGAGGGAGAAAGUGGGGGAUCUUCGGACCUCACGCUAUCAGAUGAGCCUAGGUCGGAUUAGCUAGUUGGUGGGGUAAAGGCCUACCAAGGCGACGAUCCGUAACUGGUCUGAGGGGAUGAUCAGUCACACUGGAACUGAGACACGGUCCAGACUCCUACGGGAGGCAGCAGUGGGGAAUAUUGGACAAUGGGCGAAAGCCUGAUCCAGCCAUGCCGCGUGUGUGAAGAAGGUCUUCGGAUUGUAAAGCACUUUAAGUUGGGAGGAAGGGCAGUAAGUUAAUACCUUGCUGUUUUGACGUUACCAACAGAAUAAGCACCGGCUAACUUCGUG
rnacentral:rRNA from 1 species